CGAAUGCUGACAUAAGUAACGAUAAAGCGGGUGAAAAGCCCGCUCGCCGGAAGACCAAGGGUUCCUGUCCAACGUUAAUCGGGGCAGGGUGAGUCGACCCCUAAGGCGAGGCCGAAAGGCGUAGUCGAUGGGAAACAGGUUAAUAUUCCUGUACUUGGUGUUACUGCGAAGGGGGGACGGAGAAGGCUAUGUUGGCCGGGCGACGGUUGUCCCGGUUUAAGCGUGUAGGCUGGUUUUCCAGGCAAAUCCGGAAAAUCAAGGCUGAGGCGUGAUGACGAGGCACUACGGUGCUGAAGCAACAAAUGCCCUGCUUCCAGGAAAAGCCUCUAAGCAUCAGGUAACAUCAAAUCGUACCCCAAACCGACACAGGUGGUCAGGUAGAGAAUACCAAGGCGCUUGAGAGAACUCGGGUGAAGGAACUAGGCAAAAUGGUGCCGUAACUUCGGGAGAAGGCACGCUGAUAUGUAGGUGAAGCGACUUGCUCGUGGAGCUGAAAUCAGUCGAAGAUACCAGCUGGCUGCAACUGUUUAUUAAAAACACAGCACUGUGCAAACACGAAAGUGGACGUAUACGGUGUGACGCCUGCCCGGUGCCGGAAGGUUAAUUGAUGGGGUCAGCGCAAGCGAAGCUCUUGAUCGAAGCCCCGGUAAACGGCGGCCGUAACUAUAACGGUCCUAAGGUAGCGAAAUUCCUUGUCGGGUAAGUUCCGACCUGCACGAAUGGCGUAAUGAUGGCCAGGCUGUCUCCACCCGAGACUCAGUGAAAUUGAACUCGCUGUGAAGAUGCAGUGUACCCGCGGCAAGACGGAAAGACCCCGUGAACCUUUACUAUAGCUUGACACUGAACAUUGAGCCUUGAUGUGUAGGAUAGGUGGGAGGCUUAGAAGUGUGGACGCCAGUCUGCAUGGAGCCGACCUUGAAAUACCACCCUUUAAUGUUUGAUGUUCUAACGUUGACCCGUGAUCCGGGUUGCGGACAGUGUCUGGUGGGUAGUUUGACUGGGGCGGUCUCCUCCUAAAGAGUAACGGAGGAGCACGAAGGUUGGCUAAUCCUGGUCGGACAUCAGGAGGUUAGUGCAAUGGCAUAAGCCAGCUUGACUGCGAGCGUGACGGCGCGAGCAGGUGCGAAAGCAGGUCAUAGUGAUCCGGUGGUUCUGAAUGGAAGGGCCAUCGCUCAACGGAUAAAAGGUACUCCGGGGAUAACAGGCUGAUACCGCCCAAGAGUUCAUAUCGACGGCGGUGUUUGGCACCUCGAUGUCGGCUCAUCACAUCCUGGGGCUGAAGUAGGUCCCAAGGGUAUGGCUGUUCGCCAUUUAAAGUGGUACGCGAGCUGGGUUUAGAACGUCGUGAGACAGUUCGGUCCCUAUCUGCCGUGGGCGCUGGAGAACUGAGGGGGGCUGCUCCUAGUACGAGAGGACCGGAGUGGACGCAUCACUGGUGUUCGGGUUGUCAUGCCAAUGGCACUGCCCGGUAGCUAAAUGCGGAAGAGA
rnacentral:rRNA from 1 species